UCUGUUAAAUGCCAACGUUUCAAUCCCGUCAAUUCUACGAUCCAAACUCAGGGAAAGCACGAGGCCCCCGAAUACCAGUCAUGGCAAAAUUUUACUUAAUGGCAUGUAGCGUGGAAGUGAUGUGACAAACUCUGAAGACAACAGGAACAGUACUGAAAAUAAUCCACCCGAGUUUUCCUUCUGGUAUCGUUGAAGAAAAAGGAGGAAGCGUUCAAUUCUCACCUAGUCAAUACCUACAGCCCCACAACUCGCGCUGAACACUCUUGCUCAUGUACCAUGAGAUCAAAAAAACUCCCCACAGGAAAGAAAAAUAAACACACGAAUCCUCGAAUCGCUUCUACUGUGAGCACUACUUCGACAUCCAGUGUUUCCCCUCGACUUCGACAGCUCGCUACUCAGGAAGAGUGAGGAAGAGGGGCAUACCUGAGAGAUGCCAUGGCUCAAUCAAAAGCAGCAGGGUGGGUUUAUGGGGUCUUUGAGAGAGCUGGGUUGUUGUGUGAUCAAGUCUGAUGAAGAUUGAAGGAGUGGAACUGAAGUGGCAUCAGCUGCAUUUGGUGGAGUCGUAGAAUGUGAGUGCGAAGCAGCACGAGUUCAUAUGGACCCUGGAAAUGAAAAGGAAGGUGGGUACAUGACAAGUGGCAGUAGCAUUCUCUGCCCAUGUGGCGCUUGCUUUUAGAGUUUUGCAUUCUGUACAUUAGUAGGUGUUGAUGGAGGGUCAUGAGAGCAGAGGAUGGAAUUUCUUUUUCAUAUAUAUAUAUAUAUAUAUAUGAAAACACCCAGGCUUUUCUUACUAAAUUGACCACCUAUUCUAACCAUCACAACAAUAAUAAAUAUAUAUAUAUAUAUAUAUAUGUGACUUCUAGAUUCAUUUCUCCACUACUAGAUCCAAAACCAAAACCAAUGAAAACCAACCACAUUCAUCAUGA